UACGUAGGUCCCGAGCGUUGUCCGGAUUUAUUGGGCGUAAAGCGAGCGCAGGCGGUUUGAUAAGUCUGAAGUUAAAGGCUGUGGCUUUACCACAGUUCGCUUUGGAAACUGUUUAACUUGAGUGCAAGAGGGGAGAGUGGAAUUCCAUGUGUAGCGGUGAAAUGCGUAGAUAUAUGGAGGAACACCGGUGGCGAAAGCGGCUCUCUGGCUUGUAACUGACGCUGAGGCUCGAAAGCGUGGGGAGCAAACAGG
rnacentral:rRNA from 1 species